rnacentral:lncRNA from 1 species
CAGACAGUUUCACGGAGGCCUCGAUCCCCAGUCUGCGCAGCCGGAGACGUCCGCACCCUCGCUACCCUCCCAGAAUGCCCUGGGUGUACGGGCUCCAUGCAGGACCCGCCCCAGGUCUGCACGGCAGUCUCCACGUGGGCGCCCCACAGGCACCAACCCACCCGGGGCCCAAACUGUGUGCCAAGAGCUUGAAUGAAUGAGUGGCUGAAUGAACGACUGUCCAGCAGAGGCCAUUUGGAGCUCAAGGAGGGAAGGAGCCUUUCCCAGUGCUUGCUGUUUUGUUCAACUUUCCUGCUUCUGAGAGGCGCCUGACUCUUGGUUGGAGACCUGUGGCCGCCUGUCCCCCACAGCCACAGCGGAGCGGGG